rnacentral:rRNA from 1 species
CAACGUAGGGAACCUGCCCAUGCGGCCGGGACAACUUCCGGAAACGGAUGCUGAUACCGGAUAAGGAAAGCGAAGGCAUCUUUGCUUUGUUAAAGGAGCUGCAAGGCUCCGCGCAUGGAUGGACCUGCGGUGCAUUAGCUGGUUGGUGAGGUAAAGGCUCACCAAGGCGACGAUGCAUAGCCGGCCUGAGAGGGCGAACGGCCACACUGGGACUGAGACACGGCCCAGACUCCUACGGAAGGCAGCAG